rnacentral:rRNA from 1 species
UACGGAGGGUGCAAGCGUUAAUCGGAAUUACUGGGCGUAAAGCGCGCGUAGGCGGCAAGUUAAGUUGGGUGUGAAAGCCCGGGCUCAACCUGGGGAACGGCAUUCAAAACUGGCUAGCUAGAGUACAGCAGAGGAUAGUGGAAUUUCCGGUGUAGCGGUGAAAUGCGUAGAGAUCGGAAGGAACACCAGUGGCGAAGGCG